CCAGCAGCUGCGGUAAUUCCAGCUCCAAUAGCGUAUAUUAAAGUUGUUGCAGUUAAAAAGCUCGUAGUUGGAUUUGUGGUGUGUCCAGUUGGCCUUUGCUCUUUUGAGUGACAGUGCUGUAACUGGUCUGCCAUGUUUGGGUGGAAUCUGUGUGGCAAUAAGUUGUCGUGCAGGGGAUACCCAUUGUUUACUGUGAAAAAAUUAGAGUGUUCAAAGCAGGCUUAUGCCUCUGAAUAUAUUAGCAUGGAAUAAUAAUAUAGGACCUUGGUACUAUUUUGUUGGUUUGCGCACUGAGGUAAUGAUUAAGAGGGACAGUUGGGGGUAUUUGUAUUCCAUUGUCAGAGGUGAAAUUCUUGGAUUUUUGGAAGACAAACUAUUGCAAAAGCAUUUACGAAGGAUGUUUUCAUUAAUCAAGAACAAAAGUUAGGGGAUUGAAGAUGAUUAGAUACCAUCGUAGUCUUGUUUCGUUUUGUCUCCGUCAGCACCUUGUGAGAAAUCAUAAGUCUUUGGGUUCCGGGGGGAGUAUGGUCACAAGGCUGAAACUUAAAGAAAUUGAAGGAAGGGCACCACCAGGAGUGAAGCCUGUGGCUUAAUUUGACUCAACACGGGAAAACUUACCAGGUCCAGACAUAGUGAGGAUUUACAGAUUGAGAGCUCUUUCUUGAUUCUAUGGGUGGUGGUGCAUGGCCGUUCUUAGUUGGUGGAGUGAUUUGUCUGGUUAAUUCCGUUAACGAACAAGACCCCUGUCUGCUAAAUAGCAGAUAUAGUGUUUAUCACUGUAUUUCUGCUUCUUAGAGGGACGUGCGUUCUAUUAGACACAGGAAGAUAGGGGCAAUAACAGGUCUGUGAUGCCCUNUAGAUGUUCUGGNGCCGCACGCGCGCUACACUGAUGCAUUCAACGANGUUCUUACCUNUGGCCGANGAGGCCUGGGCAAUCUUUNUGAACUUGCAUUGUGAUAGGGAUAGAUUAUUGCAAUUAUUAAUCUUGAACGAGGAAUUCCUAGUAAACGCAGAUCAUCAAUCUGCAUUGAUUACGUCCCUGCCCUUUGUACACACCGCCCAUUGCACCUACCGAUUGAAUGGUCCGGUGAAGCCUCUGGAUUGUGGUUAGUUUCCUUCAUUGGAAGUUACUCGCGAGAACUUGUCUAAACCUUAUCAUUUAGAGGAAGGUGAAGUUGUAACAGGGUUUCCGUAGGUGAACCUGCGGAAGG
rnacentral:rRNA from 1 species